CCUACGGGUGGCAGCAGUGGGGAAUAUUGGGCAAUGGACGCAAGUCUGACCCAGCAACGCCGCGUGAAGGUAGAAGGCUUUCGGGUUGUAAACUUCUUUUAAGGGGGAAGAGCAGAAGACGGUACCCCUUGAAUAAGCCACGGCUAACUACGUGCCAGCAGCCGCUGCAAUCCGUCGGUGGCAAGAGUUGUCCGGAUUUACUGGGUGUAAGGGACGUGCAGCCGGAGAGACAAGUCAGAUGGGAAAUCCACGGGCUCAACCCGUGAACUGCAUUUGAAACUGUUUCCCUUGAGUGUCGGAGAGGUAAUCGGAAUUCGUGGUGUAGCGGUGAAAUGCGUAGAUAUAAGGAAGAACACCAGUGGCGAAGGCGGAUUACUGGACGAUAACUGACGGUGAGGCGCGAAAGCGUGGGGAGCAAACAGGAUUAGAUACCCGUGUAGUC
rnacentral:rRNA from 1 species